AUUAUCUGGCUGGUUGACUUUAAGCUCUCUUGCAGUCUGUGUGCGUGCCCUCAGGCGAAACUUUAUAAUAAUUAACUUGAUUCUAUCCGUGGAUAGAUAAAGCCACGUAUGAACUAUCUAAAAAUAGAAAAGAAACGAACUGGAAAUGGGAUAAAAAAGUAAAUGAACUGAUGGUCUGAUGGAACCAGAAGUGCAUAGAUUAUUAGUUUUUUCUAGAUUAACUGACUAGCAAAUAUUGCUUAUUUGAGAUGAUCAACAAGCAUUUGGGAGAAUGAAAAAAACUGGAAAAGAAAUAAAAAAAACGAUAGGCUUCGAGUGACUAAACUCUACAAGUGAAAGCAUCCAAUGUGGGGCUCCAUCCCACCCGAUGCUUCAUACUGGGCUAGUAGGCUUGGGCUUUGGUUGCGGCC
rnacentral:lncRNA from 1 species